CCAUGCCGCGUGAGUGAAGAAGGCCUUCGGGUUGUAAAGCUCUUUCGGCCGGGACGAAAUCGCUUUCGCUAAUAUCGGGAGUGGAUGACGGUACCGGAAUAAGAAGCACCGGCUAACUACGUGCCAGCAGCCGCGGUAAUACGUAGGGUGCGAGCGUUAAUCGGAAUUACUGGGCGUAAAGCGUGCGCAGGCGGUUUCGCAAGUCAGAUGUGAAAGCCCCGGGCUUAACCUGGGAACUGCGUUUGAAACUACGAAGCUAGAGUACGGCAGAGGGAGGUGGAAUUCCAAGUGUAGCAGUGAAAUGCGUAGAUAUUUGGAGGAACACCGAUGGCGAAGGCAGCCUCCUGGGCUAGUACUGACGCUCAUGCACGAAAGCGUGGGGAGCAAACAGGAUUAGAUACCCUGGUAGUCCACGCCCUAAACGAUGGCAACUAGUUGUUGGGGAUUAACAUCCUUAGUAACGCAGCUAACGCGUGAAGUUGCCCGCCUGGGGAGUACGGUCGCAAGAUUA
rnacentral:rRNA from 1 species